rnacentral:rRNA from 1 species
AUUGAACGCUGGCGGCAGGCCUAACACAUGCAAGUCGAGCGGAUGAAGGGAGCUUGCUCCUGGAUUCAGCGGCGGACGGGUGAGUAAUGCCUAGGAAUCUGCCUGGUAGUGGGGGAUAACGUCCGGAAACGGGCGCUAAUAUCGCAUACGUCCUGAGGGUGAAAGUGGGGGUUCUUCGGACCUCACGCUAUCUGAUGAGCCUAGGUCGGAUUAGCUAGUUGGUGGGGUAAUGGCCUACCAAGGCGACGAUCCGUAACUGGUCUGAGAGGAUGAUCAGUCACACUGGAACUGGGACACGGUCCAGACUCCUACGGGAGGCAGCAGUGGGGAAUAUUGGAAAAUGGGCGAAAGCCUGAUCCAGCCAUGCCGCGUGUGUGAAGAAGGUCUUCGGAUUGUAAAGCACUUUAAGUUGGGAGGAAGGUCAGUAAGUUAAUACCUUGCUGUUUUGACGUUACCAACAGAAUAAGCACCGGCUAACUUCGUG